GAGCCAGCAGGUGGCAGGCAGAGCACCCCAGCGCCCCUGGCCUUCGCUAGGCUCUUCCCUGGAGAAGAGCCAGGAUAGGAGCCUUUGGACCUUCCCAGUGACCUGCCUCCCAGCAACAAGCCUAACUCUGUGUGGUGGGUGGGUUGCCCAAUUCUUCCCCCCCACCCCCACGUUUUACAGCCGUUUCUUAAAUGAGUGGGCCGUUUAAGAUCACCAGCGGCGACCUUGAGCUGGGCUUUGAGGCCGCACCGGAGAAUGAGCCCGGGCCCUCCUCCCCCUCCAGGAACUAGCCGGAAGGAUUUACAUACCGUGGCCUGGCAGGGCUCCAGUUUCCUUAAUUGUAGGGCUCCACUUCCUGUCCCUUUUUAGCCAAAUCUCCCACACCCUUCCAUGAAAUAGGAGGUCCCCAGAACAGGCUCUUACUCACCACCCUUUACCCACUCUACUGUGUAUAUGGUCUAGGGAAAAAUAAAUUAAUAAAUAAACCAGAGGUUUGAGGAUCCCUGCGGCAAAAAUGCUAGGACCCCAGGACCACUUUCUUGAGGGGUGGGGCCCCGGUGACCAGCUGGGUCCAGGGCUUGGGCUGGUGGCCCUCCCCCUCCCCCCAACUCUAGAUUCGUGACUUACUGAAUCCCAGUUUUUCUGCGACUUGCUCUCUCUCUCUCUGAGAUAGAGAUCCACCCAGCACCUCCUUCAGGGCAGGCAAGGGGCUUGCUCUUCUGAAGGGCAGGGGAGACACUCUCUCGCUUUCCCAGGAGACUUGAGGGGAGAAGGGAGGGCACAGAACAUCACUGGUGGGAACGGGGAGGGCGUGGCAGCUGCGAUGGUGACUGGUGACCUCUCCCAGCCACUGCCCACGCCACCCUGCAGGAGACCAGUGUUGUUUGGGGCUCUUAGCAGCCCUGGGGGUUGGGGACGGGAGAUGUACCUAGUUUAGGUCCCCAGAUCUUUAGGGACUGCUGGAGUCCCUCAGGCGGGCUCCGUGGGAUGGGGACAAGAGUGGGCAGGGACAUCCAGGCAGGGAAUUUCAUCCAGUUCUCUGCCAGGGGGUGGCCGAGGUUUCCGUAGUCGUCUGCGCUCCCGGAGUGUGGUUAACCCGUGCGCGGGACAGAACUUGCAAGAAGACUCAGGGUCAGGCCCCAGCUGAUUCCGCAUGCAAGUGACAUCAUAUGAUCUUUGUCUUUCUUUCACACUUCACAACCAAGUAGUGUGUGGCUCAAGAAAGCCAGGCUGUGAGAGAGAUACAGCCUCCCGAGGUGGCCGGACGUCACAGGCCCAGGGCACCUACCUGGAUGAGCACUGUGUGGGGACUUGGAAGUCUUGCUUGCUGAAGUCACUCCCAUGUCACGCCUGGCUUCUUGCCUCAAGUGCAGGCUUCUACAGGGUGUUCAGCCAAGGACAACAGGGUGGGGUGGGAGGGCUAAC